rnacentral:rRNA from 1 species
GAUGAACGCUGGCGGCGUGCCUAAUACAUGCAAGUCGAGCGAAGCGGGGACGGGUGAGUAACACGUGGAUAACCUCCUAUAAGACUGGGAUAACUUCGGGAAACCGGAGCUAAACCGGAUCCUUGUAGAUGGAUCUGCGCUGCAUUGGCUAGUUGGUAAGGUAACGGCUUACAAAGGAAACUAUGCAUGGCAGACCUGAGAGGGUGAUGAGACACAAUGGAAUCGAUACAAGUUCCAGACUCCUACGGGAGGCAGCAUUAGGGAAUCUGCCGCAAUGGGCGAAAGCCUGACGGAGCAACGCCGCGUGAGUGAUGAAGGUCUGCGGAUCGUAAAACUCUGUUAUUAGGGAAGCGGUACCUAAUCAGAAAGCCACGGCUAACUACGUGCCAGCAGCCGCGGUAAUAC